rnacentral:rRNA from 1 species
GAUGAACGCUAGCUACAGGCUUAACACAUGCAAGUCGAGGGGAAACGCCAUUGAAGCUUGCUUCGAUGGUCGUCGACCGGCGCACGGGUGAGUAACGCGUAUCCAACCUGCCUCUGACCAAGGGAUAACCCGUCGAAAGUCGGCCUAAUACCUUAUGCAGUCGUCGGAAGUCAUCUGAUGACGACGAAAGAUUUCAUCGGUGAGAGAUGGGGAUGCGUCUGAUUAGCUUGUUGGCGGGGUAACGGCCCACCAAGGCAACGAUCAGUAGGGGUUCUGAGAGGAAGGUCCCCCACAUUGGAACUGAGACACGGUCCAAACUCCUACGGGAGGCAGCAGUGAGGAAUAGUGAUCAAUGGGCGAGAGCCUGAACCAGCCAAGUAGCGUGCAGGAUGACGGCCCUAUGGGUUGUAAACUGCUUUUAUGCGGGGAUAAAGUGAGGGACGUGUCCUUCAUUGCAGGUACCGCAUGAAUAAGGACCGGCUAAUUCCGUG